rnacentral:lncRNA from 1 species
GAUUAGAUUUCAUUGGCAUGCUUGCAGAUCCUGAUUCUCUCAAAAGCUCCAUCACAGUUGAUGCCAGACUCCUGAAGCAACAUAGAAUCAUGAAAUAAAUAAACUUUGGCAUGCAUUGUUUAAAACCUUAGGAAUCGAUCUAUUUGCUGGCUAGCUUUGGUUGUUCUCAAGGAAAUAAAGAGACAUGAUGAACUUGCAAAUUAUAAAAAUGCAAGAAGAACAUUAAGAAAAUAGUGGCGUAGAGUUAGACCAAACCUGAUAUUUUUGCUUCUAUAAUUUGCUUUGCAAGGUCAUACAGGGAUCCAAGAAGUUCAUCUCUCCGUUCACAGUAUUCUUGGGCUAGCACACCAUGGUCCUACCCACGUUCAAAUUUGGCAGUUAAUAGACCAACAGCACGAGACGACAGAUGACAUACCUGCAAAUCCUGAUUCUCUCAAAAGCUCCAUCACAGAUGAUGCGAGACUCCUGAACCAACACAAAAUCAUGAAAUAAAUAAACUUUGGCAUGCAUUGUUCAAACCUGAGAAAUCCAUCUAUUUGUUGGCUAGCUUUGGUUUUCGAAUAGCACUGAUACUGCUUAAUCGUUGUUGCUGGUGCCACCUGAGAUGUUG